rnacentral:lncRNA from 1 species
AAUAGAACAAUUCAACAAAAUGACUUUUGCCUUCAAAAUGGAGUCAGGAAAGUUCCUCAGAGGAGGUUUCUCUGAUGAUCACUGAGAAAGGCAAGUAUAUAGUAUAUACUAUACUAUGAUUAUAGAAGGAUGUCAUUAGGAGUCAUUUUAUUAUUAGGUUUCUUUCACAAAACAGUAGUUUUUGGUUUUUACUCAAGUCUCUGGUCUACUGCAUUUCAGGUUCUUAGCCUGUAUAGAUACAGAAUCAGGAAUGAGUUCUAUCUUAUGGAGUGGAACUUAAUUUCAAUGAAAUAUUGAUUUAGUCCCAACAGUUUUGUGCCACUAUUGUACUAGAAUAUCUUGGAGGAAGGUCAUUAUUACAUAUUGAAAGUUAGGGGGGCUUUUGUUUACCUUUUUAUUUUGGUACUAUACAGAGUUUUUUUCUAGUUCCCAAAACACUAGUAAGUGAGGGGUCUCCACAGGCACCUGUUUAACCUCUUCAGGUUCAAUGAGUUAUUUAGAUAUUAUCUGUUUCAGGAGGAUUUUACCACCCGUUUGUACAAUGCAGUAAUCUGAAUUGGGUGGGAGGGUGGGGCUUCCAUGAGGUCCCUUUGGCUAACACCUUGAUUAGAUACAUUUCAUUUCUAGUAGUAGAGGUUUCAUUUGUUGGCAGGAGAUACCUAGUCUGGACUUUGCUUCCUUAUUAUUUGGUAUUUUACACACAUACACACACACACACACACACACACACACACACACACACACACAAAACAUACACACACACACCUAUGUAUAUUAAGAAUUAUCUACUGUUUAAGUUCAUGUAUAGUACCCAUCAAAUGAUCGCUAGUUUUAGAUGUCUCUCCCAUAUUUGCUCCCUUAUUGUCUAUAGAAUACAUUUCCCCCAUCUAGGUGUGCAGCUUAUAUCAAUUGAGUUCUGAGUUCUUUGUGUGGGCACUUUGGGGUUUGAGAAUUUACUAUUAUAAAUUUGACUGAUAAAUUAUAUACCUCUACAUUUUUCAUUAUAAGGGGCUAGAGGUUUAAAGCCAACAGCCACCAGUCUCAGCAGGUUAGCCAAAGGGGUUAGCAGAGGGUUGAUGGCUUUGGAAGAUAUGAACAGCAAACCUCAGAAAAUUUGGCAGACUGUCAGUUGGAACUAGCCUUGGGGGCGGGGAGACUCCGUUGCUGGUGCACAGCUGGCUUUAGUGUGGAUUGUUUUUUAAUAGUUACACACUACAUCUGUCUUCUUUAUCCUUUCUGUAUUGUCCUCUAGUACUACUCUAUCCUAUCACUUCAUAAUGAUAUAUUUUACUCCUGCUUCUAAGGGAGAUCCUUUCCUCUCUACUAGUCCCUUACUCUAUACCUAACCUCUGUGGUUAUAUUAAUAGUAGCUGGCUUAUUGGAGACUUAACAGCUGCCAUUCACAUACAAGGGUAUGUGAGUAUGGCUCUGGAUUUCCUUACCGAGGGUGAAUUUUCUGCUUCCAUUCAUUUAACUUCAAAUUUCAUAUUUUCAUUUUUUUUUGUUCUUACAGCUUGGCCCACUUUUAAAUAUUAUUUAGUGCAGCUUAUGUUUGCUAUUGAGUUUAGUUCCUCCAGCAUUUUGGAUACUGAGUUCUUAUAAGUUAGGCAGUGUAAAAAUAAUUUAUCUAUUUAGUAGGAGUUUUUUUCAACCUUAUGUAUACUAUUAUCUUUGCAUAAAGUUUUUAGUUUCACACAUAUUGCAUUUUUCAAUUUUUGACUGGACAGACAUGCUUCUGAUAUGAUAUUUAAUAUAUUAUUAUUAUAAACAAAUUAAUAUUUCUGUCAUGGUUUGAAUAAGAAUGGCCCACAUAAACUCAAAUAUUGAAUGCUUAGCCCAUGUGGAGUGGCACUACUAGAGGGUGUGACCAUGUUGGAAUAGAUACCAUUUUGUCAGAGAAAGUUUGUCACUGUGGGGGUGAGCUUUAAGGUUUCUGCUAGUGUGUUAUAGAAUCUCCUUCUUCUUUCUGUAGAUCAAGAUAAAGAACUCUCAGCUCCUCUCUAGCAUCAUGUCUGCCUGCAUGCCACUAUGUGUCCUGCCAUGAUGAUAUUCCCCUAAAUCUCUGAAACUGUAAUCCAGCCCAAAUUACAUGUUUCCCUUUAUAAGGGUUGCCAUUGUCAUAGAGUCUCUUCACAGCAAUAAAAACCAAACUAAGACAUUUUCCCUUUAGGAUUUUUCAAUUUCAAGUACAAUAAUUCUGGUGUUAAUCGACUUUCAAUUAACUUGUUGAAAUGCUAAAAGUGCACUGGAUGUGCCAGUAUACAUUUUAAUUCUACCAAUUUGUAGUCACACUUUGUUGCUGUAAUAAAUAUCAUGACUAAAAUAACUUGAGGAACAAAGAGUUUAUGUUAUCCUAUACUUCAGGUCAUAGUCUGUCACAGAGCCAAGUCAGAGCAGACACUUCAGAAGACACAUUGAAGGAAUGAUGCUGACCACCUUCCCCUCUGAGUCAUACUCAAUUAACUUUCUUUUACACCUUAGGCAAACAUGCCAAGGGAUGGUUCCACCCACAGUGUCCUGGACCUUCCCAAACCAGUCAUUAAAUAAGACACUCUUUCACAGAUAUGGUCUCAAGCCUGUAUAAUGAAGGCAAUUUCUUAGUAGAGGUUCCAACUACCUAAGGGAUAAAAUUGACACUAAAUACUAACCAGAGUACUUCAUUCCUUAUCAAGCUGACACACAAACACAUCACUAUUUAAACCAUAGCCUUUUCUUUCUUUUUUAAUCCCCCAAAUCUCAUGUUACUAUCGUAAUAUAAAAUACAAUGUAAUUUUGAAAGUUCUAUAAUCUUUAAGAAAUUCCAAUGUUUUAAAGAUCUUUUAAAACCGAAGAUCUCUUACCCU